rnacentral:tRNA from 1 species
GCUCGAAUAGCUCAGUUGGUUAGAGCGUGCGACUGUUAAUCGCAAUGUCACAGGUUCAAUUCCUGUUUUGAGCG